rnacentral:lncRNA from 1 species
CCACGCUACAGAAUCAAUCUCAUCUCUUGCUUUCUUGUACAGUUCAAGCCUCUUGGCACAUUGCAUUCUUCUCUCCAUCAAUGCAGGAUCUUCAUCUAACAAUUCUGAAAGUGCCUUGCCCUGAGAAAUAUAAAGAACUGUCAGCACUUGUACCAUCAAAAAAAACUGAUAAUUCGGGAUUAACAUUGAGAUAGUACCUCUUUCUUCCCAAUCUGAGUGUAGAAGUAGUUCAACAAAGAUUGUUUGGCCUCCUUAACUUGACAAUAAACCACUGCUUUGGGGAGUGUGUUCCUCAAUGUAUCAGACACCAUAUUUACAUAUGAUGAUACAUUUGAACCUAUCCGACGAAAGUGACCCUCUCCAUACCGGUCUACGGCAGCAGCAGCUUCUGGCUUUCCCCCCUUGGGGGUUUCCAUCUCCUGAGGUAGUUUUCUGAAGAAAUCCACUGUCAAGUAAGAAGAUUC